CCCAGUAAACGGCGGCCGUAACUAUAACGGUCCUAAGGUAGCGAAAUUCCUUGUCAGGUAAGUUCUGACCCGCACGAAAGGUGUAAUGUCUUUGGGCACUGUCUCAACAGGGGACUCGGUGAAAUCAAACUGCCGGUGAAAAUGCCGGCUACCCGCGAUUAGACGGAAAGACCCCAUGGAGCUUUACUGUAGGUUGAUAUUGAUAUUUGGUAUGUAAUGUACAGGAUAGGUGGGAGACUAUGAAGCUAGGACGUUAGUCUUGGUGGAGUCGACGUUGGGAUACCACCCUUUGCCUAUCGAGUAUCUAACUAGUGUAAGUGGAUUACAAAGGACAGUGUCAGUUGGGCAGUUUGACUGGGGCGGUCGCCUCCUAAAGAGUAACGGAGGCGCUCGAAGGUUCCCUCAGAAUGGUUGGAAAUCAUUCGCAGAGUGUAAACGCAGAAGGGAGCUUGACUGCAAGACAAACAAGUCGAGCAGGGACGAAAGUCGGAGUUAGUGAUCUUACGGUACCGCGUGGAAGGGCCGUGACUCAACGGAUAAAAGCUACCCUGGGGAUAACAGGCUGAUCACGCCCAAGCGUUCACAGCGACGGCGUGGUUUGGCACCUCGAUGUCGGCUCGUCGCAUCCUGGAGGUGGAUAAGCUUCCAAGGGUUGGGCUGUUCGCCCAUUAAAGCGGCACGCGAGCUGGGUUCAAAACGUCGUGAGACAGUUUGGUCCCUAUCUGUCGUGGGCGUUGGAAAUUUGAAGAGAGCUGUCCUUAGUACGAGAGGACCGGGAUGGACAUACCACUGGUGUACCAGUUAGCCUGCCAGGGCUAUAAGCUGGGUAGCUACGUAUGGAACGGAUAAACGCUGAAAGCAUCUAAGCGUGAAGCCUCCUCUAAGAUUAGAUUUCCCACAGAAAUGGUAAGACCCCUUAUAGACUAUAAGGUUGAUAGGCUAGGUGUGGAAGCGCAGUGAUGCGUGGAGCUGACUAGUACUAAUAGGUCGAGGACUUAACCUA
rnacentral:rRNA from 1 species